AGGGGUGCAGGUGGUUGCUUGAUUCAGGCAGAUUUGGUGCAGCUAGAGGGAGACGUUUUGGGUUAGCUACUUGACAAGGAGUUGGUUAAGGGUGAGUUGCCACUCCAAGAAAGGCAAGUCUCCAAUUUGGCAGCAUUGAAAACUCUCGGUUGUGGAAGUGGAUGUGUAGGAGUUUACCUGCCAUUUUGGGAUCAUUUUGACCUCCUUUGAUAAAGUUGUACCCAUAGGAGAAAGAGUUAUUGGGUUGUUAUUUGGGCUGACCUUCGGGCCGACGGGCCAAACUCUCGGGCUGCGCAAGGUGUGACUCGGGCUUAAGAAGAGGGGCCCAAUAUUUGUAUAUUUGUAUUCUUAAAUUCUUUCUCAUCAUCACAUGUGUAAUUUAUUUUGUAACUAGAGAGUAGCUUGAUAUGUAUUCGAACUUUCUAGAUCAGCAAAGUAACCUCGUAUUCUUUCUUGA